rnacentral:ncRNA from 1 species
UUUUUUGAGAGUUUGAUCCUGGCUCAGGAUGAACGCUGGCGGCGUGCUUUAGGCAUGCAAGUAGAACGGGGGGUGCCAUACGGUACCCCCAGUUGCAGACGGGUGAGUAAUACAUAGGAAUCUACCUUUUAGUGGGGAAUAGCUGGCCGAAAGGCCAAUUAAUACCGCAUAAGUCCCGCCUUUGGCGGGAGAAAGGGCGUAACUGCCCGCUGAAAGAUGAGCCUAUGUCCUAUCAGCUAGUUGGUGGGGUAAAGGCCUACCAAGGCGAUGACGGGUAGCUGGACUGAGAGGUCGGUCAGCCACAAUGGCACUGAGACACGGGCCAUACGACUACGGUCGGCAGCAACUAGGAAUAUUGCGCAAUGGACGAAAGUCUGACGCAGCGACGCCGCGUGGAGGAUGACGGCCUUCGGGUUGUAAACUCCUUUUGUCCCCGCAUAUGCGGGGGAGAAUAAGCACCCACUAACUACGUGCCAGCAGUUGCGGUAAUACGUAGGGUGCAAGCGUUAUCCGGAUUUAUUGGGCGUAAAGAGUUCGUAGGCGUCC